UACGUAGGUGGCGAGCGUUGUCCGGAUUUACUGGGCGUAAAGGGCGCGUAGGCGGACUUUUAAGUGAGAUGUGAAAUACCCGGGCUCAACUUGGGUGCUGCAUUUCAAACUGGAAGUCUAGAGUGCAGGAGAGGAGAAUGGAAUUCCUAGUGUAGCGGUGAAAUGCGUAGAGAUUAGGAAGAACACCAGUGGCGAAGGCGAUUCUCUGGACUGUAACUGACGCUGAGGCUCGAAAGCGUGGGGAGCAAACAGG
rnacentral:rRNA from 1 species